UCUUGAGUUCUGUGAGCCAAUCUAGCAAAUUAAUGGAACCCUGUGAAGGGGUCAUGGGGACCUCUGAUUUAUAGACAGUAGGUUAGAAGAAGAGGUAACAACCUGGGUUUGUGACUGGCUUCUGAUGUGUGGGGUGGGGGCAAUCUUGUGUGACCGAAUCCUUAACCUGUGAGAUCUAAUGCUGUCUCCAGGUCGAUAUUGUUAGAAUUCAGUUGAAUUCUAGAACACCAAGCUGGUGUCAGAGCAUUGUUGGAUGAUGUCGUGGAAACCCCCAUUCCUCUCCCCCCAUGUUGGAAUUGGGUUCAGAACCCCUAAGAAUGACCAACAGGAGAUGACACUGAUUAGGUAGCAAAGGAGGCUUCUUUGGAAGGGGGGCAUUUGAGUGGAUAUUUGGCUAAUGGAUUGAUUAGCUUCUUUCAUCCCCUUGCAUGUUGGCUGGCCUGAACAACUUACUUCAAUAAACAGAAUAUGGCAGAAAUGGCGGGAUGCUAUAAAAUGACUGUGGCUUCUCUCUUGGUUUCUCUGUUUCUUUCUCUUGGGUCACUUACUCCAGGUGAAGCCAGUUUCCAUCUCAUGAAACAUCUCUACAUAGAGACCCACAUGUACCUAGCAUGCCAUCAACCUAAUUAACAUGCACAGAGCACUUAGUACAUGUUGAACAUGGUGUAAAACUGAGACAGAAAAGAGAGAGGUUACCUAGUGAUGCCACCUAGAAGUGGAGGAACCAGGAUCUGAACGCAGGCAGUCUGGGUUCAGAGUUCUUAAUAAACAUUUGUGUU